rnacentral:rRNA from 1 species
AUUGAACGCUGGCGGCAUGCUUUACACAUGCAAGUCGAACGGUAACAGGCCGCAAGGUGCUGACGAGUGGCGAACGGGUGAGUAAUGCAUCGGAACGUGCCCAGUCGUGGGGGAUAACGCAGCGAAAGCUGCGCUAAUACCGCAUACGAUCUCUGGAUGAAAGCGGGGGACCGAAAGGCCUCGCGCGAUUGGAGCGGCCGAUGUCAGAUUAGGUAGUUGGUGGGGUAAAGGCUCACCAAGCCAACGAUCUGUAGCUGGUCUGAGAGGACGACCAGCCACACUGGGACUGGGACACGGCCCAGACUCCUACGGGAGGCAGCAGUGGGGAAGUUUGGACAAUGGGCGCAAGCCUGAUCCAGCAAUGCCGCGUGCAGGAAGAAGGCCUUCGGGUUGUAAACUGCUUUUGUACGGAACGAAACGGUCCUGGUUAAUACCUGGGGCUAAUGACGGUACCGUAAGAAUAAGCACCGGCUAACUACGUGCCAGCCGCCGCAGUAACAC